UACGAAGGGGGCGAGCGUUGUUCGGAAUUACUGGGCGUAAAGGGCGCGUAGGCGCCUUGGUAGUCCAGAUGUGAAAGCCCCGGGCUCAACCUGGGAAUGGCGAUGGAUACUGGCUCGCUAGAGUGCGGUAGAGGAGAGUGGAAUUCCCGGUGUAGCAGUGAAAUGCGUAGAGAUCGGGAGGAACAUCAGUUGCGGAAGGCGGCUCUCUGGACCAGCACUGACACUGAGGCACGAAAGCGUGGGGAGCAAACAGG
rnacentral:rRNA from 1 species